UUUUUAAACCAUUUGCAACUAAUUCGCGGAUUGUUACGCGCGCUGCGAAUGCUUUUUAUUUCAGUCGCUAAGUAUUCUUCAGAUGUGAGAGAUCACGUUUGACCCGUUUGUCAGCAUCUCGCCUAUAUCAGUUUAUUGCAUUGACCAUUUUAAAGAAUUCCACGAGAAAUAAUAUGAUUUAAUUCCUUAUUUCUGUUU